rnacentral:lncRNA from 1 species
CGCGAGCUAAAUAAGCUUGAGAUCGAUUGCUUAUUUUAAUAAACUGAAUACAAGGUAAACUUUUCAUCUGGGUCGGCUGCUUUGCUUAAUAUAGCUCGAAUAUAUAUAUAUAGUCCGUCUCCUGUACUUUCUAAACAACUUACAAGUACAUGGCCUCCCGUACGUUCGAAAGCAUAGGAGCCUAGCUCUCUCUCUCUCUCUCUCUCUCUCUCUCUCUC